rnacentral:rRNA from 1 species
UACGUAGGGGGCAAGCGUUGUCCGGAAUCAUUGGGCGUAAAGCGCGUGUAGGCGGCUCGGUAAGUCCGCUCUGAAAGUCUGGGGCUCAACCCCGGGAGGCGGGUUGAUACUGUCGAGCUCGAGUCCGGAAGAGGCGAGUGGAAUUCCUGGUGUAGCGGUGAAAUGCGCAGAUAUCAGGAGGAACACCGAUGGCGAAGGCAGCUCGCUGGGACGUGACUGACGCUGAGACGCGAAAGCGUGGGGAGCAAACAGG